UAGGGAAUCUUCGGCAAUGGACGAAAGUCUGACCGAGCCACGCCGCGUGAGUGAAGAAGGUUUUCGGAUCGUAAAACUCUGUUGUUAGAGAAGAACAAGGACGUUAGUAACUGAACGUCCCCUGCCGGUAUCUAACCAGAAAGCCACGCCUAACUACGUGCCAGCAGCCGCGGUAAUACGUAGGUGGCAAGCGUUGUCCGGAUUUAUUGGGCGUAAAGCGAGCGCAGGCGGUUUCUUAAGUCUGAUGUGAAAGCCCCCGGCUCAACCGGGGAGGGUCAUUGGAAACUGGGAGACUUGAGUGCAGAAGAGGAGAGUGGAAUUCCAGGUGUAGCGGUGAAAUGCGUAGAUAUAUGGAGGAACACCAGUGGCGAAGGCGGCUCUCUGGUCUGUAACUGACGCUGAGGCUGGAAAGCGUGGGGAGCAAACAGG
rnacentral:rRNA from 1 species